rnacentral:rRNA from 1 species
GAUGAACGCUGGCGGCGUGCCUAAUACAUGCAAGUCGAGCGAACAGACGAGGAGCUUGCUCCUCUGACGUUAGCGGCGGACGGGUGAGUAACACGUGGAUAACCUACCUAUAAGACUGGGAUAACUUCGGGAAACCGGAGCUAAUACCGGAUAAUAUAUUGAACCGCAUGGUUCAAUAGUGAAAGACGGUUUUGCUGUCACUUAUAGAUGGAUCCGCGCCGCAUUAGCUAGUUGGUAAGGUAACAGCUUACCAAGGCAACGAUGCGUAGCCGACCUGAGAGGGUGAUCGGCCACACUGGAACUGAGACACGGUCCAGACUCCUACGGGAGGCAGCAGUAGGGAAUCUUCCGCAAUGGGCGAAAGCCUGACGGAGCAACGCCGCGUGAGUGAUGAAGGUCUUCGGAUCGUAAAACUCUGUUAUUGGGGAAGAACAAAUGUGUAAGUAACUAUGCACGUCUUGACGGUACCUAAUCAGAAAGCCACGGCUAACUACGUG